rnacentral:rRNA from 1 species
GACGAACGCUGGCGGCGUGCUUAACACAUGCAAGUCGAACGAAGUGGCGAACGGGUGAGUAACGCGUAAUCAACCUGCCCUUCAGGGGGGGACAACAGUUGGAAACGACUGCUAAUCCCCCAUACUGAAGGAGGGGAUUGCGUCUGAUUAGCUCGUUUGAGGGGUAACGGCCCACCAAGGCGAUGAUCAGUCGCCGGUCUGAGGAGGUGAAAGGCCAACAUGGGACUGAGAAAAGGCCCAGAAUCCUACGGGAGGCAGCAGUGGGGAAGCUUCCGCAAUGGACGAAAGUCUGACGGAGCAACGCCGCGUGAGGGAUGACGGCCUUCGGGGUGGAAAGCUCUGUUAAUCGGGACGCGGUACCGGAAGAGAAAGCCACGGCUAACUACGUGCCAGCAGCCGCGGUAAUAC